GACAGGGAGUGUGCCACAGAAGAGAGCCAGAGAACCAGAGAACCAGAGAGACGGCAGAGGAGAGCUGCAAGAGCCACAGGAGUCCCUGAGAGAGCAGAGACGUGGAGAACAGAGACCGGGAUCCAAGAGGAAUCUUCAGGACUAAAUGGGGGGUGCCUGCCAUAUCCAGGGAGGAGCUUGGCACCAGUGUGGGGGGGUCACUAGCUGCACCUUUUCCUGGAGCGGUUGAUGAGGAUCCAGUGGUGUCUAUUGUGACUUUGGCCUGAAAUUCAUUUCUUUUGUAUACUUUUGCACCCUAGCAAAGUAGUGGGUGCUUUUAUUAUUUUCUUUUGAUACUUUGUGCACUAGUAAAUUGGUGUGUGCCUUGUGUUUUUUUUAUUUUUAUUUUUGGUAACCCUUGGUACUAUAGAAAUUGUAUUAUCAUAUUUUAAUGAUUUUUAUAAGGAUAAUAAACAUUGUUUAUUGCGAAA